rnacentral:rRNA from 1 species
AGUUUUUAAACUCCCAACCCAUGUGAACUUACCAUUGUUGCCUCGGCAGAAGCUACCUGGUUACCUUACCUUGGAACGGCCUACCCUGUAGCUGCCUUACCCUGGAACGGCCUACCCUGUAACGGCUGCCGGUGGACUACCAAACUCUUGUUAUUUUAUUGUAAUCUGAGCGUCUUAUUUUAAUAAGUCAAAACUUUCAACAACGGAUCUCUUGGUUCUGGCAUCGAUGAAGAACGCAGCGAAAUGCGAUAAGUAAUGUGAAUUGCAGAAUUCAAGUGAAUCAUCGAAUCUUUGAACAGCACAUUGCGCCCAUUAGUAUUCUAGUGGGCAUGCCUGUUCGAGCCGUCAUUUCAACCCUUAAGCCUAGCUUAGUGUUGGGAGCCUACUGCUUUUGCUAGCGGUAGCUCCUGAAAUACAACGGCGGAUCUGCGAUAUCCUCUGAGCGUAGUAAUUUUUAUCUCGCUUUUGACUGGAGUUGCAGCGUCUUUAGCCGGCUAAACCCCCCAAUUUUUAAUGGUUGACCUCGGAUCAGGAGGAAUACCCGCG